GAGUUACGAUUUGAUGCAAGGUUAAGCAGUAAAUGUGGAGCCGUAGCGAAAGCGAGUCUGAAUAGGGCGUUUAGUAUUUGGUCGUAGACCCGAAACCAGGUGAUCUACCCUUGGUCAGGUUGAAGUUCAGGUAACACUGAAUGGAGGACCGAACCGACUUACGUUGAAAAGUGAGCGGAUGAACUGAGGGUAGCGGAGAAAUUCCAAUCGAACCUGGAGAUAGCUGGUUCUCUCCGAAAUAGCUUUAGGGCUAGCCUCAAGUGAUGAUUAUUGGAGGUAGAGCACUGUUUGGACGAGGGGCCCCUCUCGGGUUACCGAAUUCAGACAAACUCCGAAUGCCAAUUAAUUUAACUUGGGAGUCAGAACAUGGGUGAUAAGGUCCGUGUUCGAAAGGGAAACAGCCCAGACCACCAGCUAAGGUCCCAAAAUAUAUGUUAAGUGGAAAAGGAUGUGGCGUUGCCCAGACAACUAGGAUGUUGGCUUAGAAGCAGCCAUCAUUUAAAGAGUGCGUAAUAGCUCACUAGUCGAGUGACACUGCGCCGAAAAUGUACCGGGGCUAAACAUAUUACCGAAGCUGUGGAUUGUCCUUUGGACAAUGGUAGGAGAGCGUUCUAAGG
rnacentral:rRNA from 1 species